rnacentral:lncRNA from 1 species
CUGAUACAGCUGUCUAAGCAGAGAUGUCAAGUAGGCAGUUGGAUAAAUGGGUCUGAAAUUCAGAGGAGAAGUCCAAGCUGGAGAAAUUUGAGAGCCAUCAGCAUUGUAGUGGACACUGUCAGGUACUCCACCCAGAUUCCUGUAAAUACUUUUUUUUUCUUUUGCUGAGGAAGACUAGCCCUGAGCUAACGUCUGUGCCAAUCUUCCUCCACUUUGUAUGUGGGACACCUCCACAACAUGACUGAUGAGUGGAGCAGGUCCACGCCUGGGAUCCAAACCCACCAAUCCAGGCUACCGAAGCAGUGCGUGGAACUUUAACCAUUCGGCCACAGGGCCGGCCCAUAAAUACCUUCUUUUGAGAGCCUCACUCACCACUUCUAUGCACUUAUGCUUCUGAUUUCCAGCACCUGCAUCUCUUCUCCAGAGAACUGUCCUGGGGCCACUGGAAAUGCUCUGCCCCCACCGACAGAGAACUAAAAACGCCUGGAAACGCACCUCCUCCAGGACCACCCUUGACCAAUGACUGACACGUGCAGGGUCGGGUGGAGAGGGGAAGCAGGACAGCCCAGCUCCCUUGUCUCAGGAAAACUCUGAGGCAUAACCGAAGCCCCACAGUUUCCCUACACCCAAGAUCGGGUUAAAACUACCCUCUACAAGAUGGCCUGAGAUUGUACUUCGCCUGGCUUUCUCCCUUCCCUGCUCUGUGUUUCCCUCUCCCUUACCAGUCCGGCCUGGGAGCACCUCCUUAGGAAGUCAUUAGCACGAAUCCUUGUCUCAGCGUCUGCUUCCGGGACCCCCCAACCUAAGACGAACACAUAGACGCUAUUUGAAGGCAUGAGUCUAGGCCGUUUUUUCUGAAUGUGGACUUUGUCCUUGUCUGAAGUUCUCCACCUGGAUGCCCUGUGCUCAUCUCUCAAGAUUCAGUUAAUGCCACUUGCUCUUUGAAGCUUUCGCUGACUGGAGGAAACCUUAGAUGCUCCCACCGCCCUGUGCCCUGUGCAUUCCUGGCUCAUGAUAGGUCACAGCCCUGUGUCAAAUGUCACCAGACAAUAUGAUUGUAACAAUGUCGCAGGCUUCAGGGAACUGUUUCAUAAGAAAUCUCCUAUGUGGUCGUGGAGCAAGGAACUUGUGGCUUCUUCUCCUCCUACCGUGUCUGCAUCGGUACCAGACAGAGUGUCACCUAUUGUGUCAUUUGAACUCCCUCAACAUCAUCUAUGGAUCCCUGGUGACACCGCUGUGAUGUGAGAUGAAGCGGGUUCAAGAGCAGAAGAAAAGACAGUAUUAUGAAGAGAAGUUACAGUGUCAAGAAGCUGACUCUAGAAUGUGAGGUGGAAAAUCAGGGACUUCAGAGUCAACAGGGCUGGGUUUAAACAUCAGCUUUACUGCUUACGAACAUUUGACCUUAAAUAACUUACUUAACCUCUAUGAGCCUUAGUUUCUGAAUCUAUGGAACAAGGACUAUAAUACAUGCCUCAUGAGACUAUCGAAAGGAUUAAAUGAGAUGAUACACCUGUAACGCUAACUGAAGCCACAAUCCAUGUCGUCCAGUUCCAGAGGAGGGCCAGAGACAAGGAAACAUGGAAAUCUGUAGCCUCAACGUCAUGGAAAAGCAAUUCCAAUUUUAUUCAAGUUUCUCAGCAUUAAAAAGAAUUCAAU